rnacentral:rRNA from 1 species
UACGUAGGGUGCAGGCGUUAAUCGGAAUUACUGGGCGUAAAGCGUGCGCAGGCGGUUUGCUAAGACAGGUGUGAAAGCCCCGGGCUCAACCUGGGAAUGGCCGUUGAAACUGGCGAACUGGAGUGUGGCAGAGGGGGGUGGAAUUCCGCGUGUAGCAGUGAAAUGCGUAGAGAUGCGGAGGAACACCGAUGGCGAAGGCAAUCCCCUGGACCUGUACUGACGCUCAUGCACGAAAGCGUGGGGAGCAAACAGG